UAAUCUAUUGGGUACUCUCAAAUUCAAUGUUGAGGAUAUAACGCCUUUCCUCAGGUCAGAGUGUAAUUUGUUACGUUUAAUAUUCCUUCUGUUUCAAUCUCUUUUGGUUUAUGGUUUGGUAAGAAAACCAAGAAGUAGUCAAACUAAUGUUAAUGUUGUAGCUUAUAUUGCCUUAAAGAUAGAAUACGCAGGUUGUGGGCGCCCCCCAUGCUGCCCCACUUCUUCUUUUGUGUUUUCACUUUGAACAAAAACAAGGGGUUUCAGCCCUGAGCCGCCUUGGGCUGGCCUUCUGGGCAAGGUGUGUCUUUGCACUAAAACCUGCCUACUCAAACGACCCUGCUGCCAUGCUCCAGAGCUGGAGAAGAAGUGAAAGUCACUUGCAAGCUAUAGUCGCAAGAAACAAACACAGAGCAGACGAAGCCAACAAGCUAGCUAACUUAUUUGCUGAUAAACUGUCCUGGUAGCAGGGCCAGCGUUUUCAGAAAAUGUAGACAGAAACAAGCAUAAUUCUCAGUUCUUGGAUCUGAAUCAACUCGACCCCAAAAGAGAAAAAGAAGCGGAAAAAAGACUGCUCAUGACCAAUCAAGAAACCAGAUAAAUAUUGGAAUUCAUUUUGAAAGGUGGAAGAGUGAUGCCCAAAUGGCCACCAUUGUCAUGGACAGGUAGGGAGAUACUGGUGUAGACAGUCUGAUUCCAAGGGAACCUGAGGUUGUAGAAGUUGUGAUUGUGGAAAAGUCCAAAAGAGAGGUAAACAUUUUUAUGGAAUGUUUUGUGAUGGAAUAAUAAUUUGAUUGGUAAUCGACCAAUGGAAGCUAUGUUUGCCUGUUCAGCAUAUUGCUUACAUAGCAUGGCAUUGAGGCCUACCGUGAACUGCCCAACUUCAAGGACUGAAUGAAUAUCCAGUGUGGCCAGUAAAGUAAACAAUGGCUCAUCUGCAUGACAUUGCUAGACCAUGGGCAAUCAAGUAAUAGGAUGGGUACAUUAGCAUGAUACAUGUUACACUGGUUACAGCGCAACACCGCAUCCUAUGUAUUUAAAGGACACUGUUAUGACAUUGACCUAUUUGGCAGUAAUGCCCCCCCAACUUGUUUAAUGUUUCAUGCCAAUACUCACCUUUGCUUUCCCCGUGCUCUGUAAUAUGUGGACCAGCGCACAGGCCACCUCUUCUUUACUCUUCACGCUCAGUAGAGGCUCUAGCACCGCACACAAAGUCCGGUAGUUAUUGGUAACGUACUCGGCAAACUCCUUGUACAGCUCCAUGGGCAGGAUGCUCAUGGUCUGGUAACGAGACUUGAGGCGUAGGGAGGCAUUGAUGAUCUUGCCCCCUGCUUGCCCCUUGGCCAGGAUGCUAGGCUGGAUGACCGGGUACCACUGCUCCACAAACUGUCGGCCCGUGAUGCUGGAGAUGGGGAUACUGACCAGUCCCAGAUGAGAGAGUUGUCUCUUCACCUUGCGUCUCUUCUUGUCAGUCUCCUUGUAGAGAUGAAGGCGUAGGUUGCGGACGGCUGGCAAGUUGUUGAACUCAAAGUGCUCGCCCCAGAACACUGUGUCAGUCCGGGGCUUGCUGGUGGUGCGUGC